rnacentral:rRNA from 1 species
AUUGAACGCUGGCGGCAGGCCUAACACAUGCAAGUCGAGCGAGCGGCGGACGGGUGAGUAAUGUAUGGGAAACUGCCUGAUGGAGGGGGAUAACUACUGGAAACGGAAGCUAAUACCGCAUACCAUCAGAUGUGCCCAGAUGGGAUUCGCUAGUAGGUGGGGUAAUGGCUCACCGAGGGGACGAUCCCUAGCUGGUCUGAGAGGAUGACCAGCCACACUGGAACGUAGACACGGUCCAUACUCCUACGUGAGGCAGCAGUGGGGAAUAUUGCACAAGGGGCGCAAGCCUGAUGCAGCCAUGCCGCGUGUGUGAAGAAGGCCUUCGGGUUGUAAAGCACUUUCAGCGGGGAGGCGUUACCCGCAGAAGAAGCACCGGCUAACUCCGUGCCAGCCGCCGCGGGAAUUC